UACGGGGGGGGCAAGCGUUGUUCGGAAUUACUGGGCGUAAAGCGUGCGUAGGCGGUUCGUUAAGUGCGUCGUGAAAGCCCCGGGCUCAACCUGGGAAUGGCGAUGGAAACUGGCGGGCUGGAGUAUGGCAGAGGGGGGUGGAAUUCCGCGUGUAGCAGUGAAAUGCGUAGAGAUGCGGAGGAACACCGAUGGCGAAGGCAGCCCCCUGGGCCAAUACUGACGCUCAGGCACGAAAGCGUGGGGAGCAAACAGG
rnacentral:rRNA from 1 species